rnacentral:rRNA from 1 species
CCUACGGGAGGCUGCAGUAGGGAAUAUUGCUCAAUGGGGGAAACCCUGAAGCAGCAACGCCGCGUGGAGGAUGAAGGUUUUCGGAUUGUAAACUCCUUUUGUUAGAGAAGAUAAUGACGGUAUCUAACGAAUAAGCACCGGCUAACUCCGUGCCAGCAGCCGCGGUAAUACGGAGGGUGCAAGCGUUACUCGGAAUCACUGGGCGGAAAGAGCGCGUAGGCGGGAUAGCAAGUCAGAUGUGAAAUCCUAUGGCUUAACCAUAGAACUGCAUUUGAAACUGUUAUUCUAGAGUAUGGGAGAGGUAGGUGGAAUUCUUGGUGGAGGGGUAAAAUCCGUAGAGAUCAAGAGGAAUACUCAUUGCGAAGGCGACCUGCUAGAACAUAACUGACGCUGAUGCGCGAAAGCGUGGGGAGCAAACAGGAUUAGAUACCCCUGUAGUC